AGGGAGAAGGAGGAGGAGGAGGAGGUGCAACUAUAAGAAUGGAGGGGAGAAGGGGGAAGGGAGGUAGGUGGGGAGGAGGGAAAGGAAGGUAAGGUGAAGGGGCAGACCAGGUGUUAGAUUCAAUUAACCUGGAGGAAACGCCGCGGAAGGACGCCCUCGCACACCUGGUCCUCGCACGUAUGCCUCCACGUUACCCCUUGACGGCAGUGUUCCAGUCGAGGUCUGUGCUCCCGCUGCCCAGCCCGCUGCGCAGUCAAUCCCUCGGAAGACCCAGUACCUGUUUACUUGUUACCUGCCUAGCUGGUCUCAUUCGUCCCGGCACUCUCGUCCUGCCAGGUGACUGACUCCCGCCUCCAGUAUCACCAGCACUUGUUUACAGACACUCCCCCGUUAGACUCAGGGAUUGAUAAAGUCGUUGGUUCUUGAGCAGCUCUUGUCUAAGUGAAAACACUCCGCCACUCAGUUGAUUUGAAAGUUUUUUUUUUUGUAAUUGUCUUUCCGUGGAGUGUCUCCUUGAUCUACGGACGGUCAGCGAGGUA